rnacentral:misc_RNA from 1 species
AGGACCCCGUGUAACCUUCUGCUCAUCAAAGCUUGAAGUGGUAAAAGGAAUGGAGAUAGUACACGGGCCGUUUACUCUGACUCGUGUAAACCCAAGUGCCCUGUGUAACAUUCUGUCUUCCAUAUGAAGAAAGGCUAAAAUCACUCUAGAGACUUACAUGCCCUAGGCCAUGUAGUGACACACGAGCCAUGUAAUAUGUGUCUGCCAG